rnacentral:rRNA from 1 species
UACGUAGGUGGCAAGCGUUGUCCGGAAUUAUUGGGCGUAAAGCGCGCGCAGGUGGUUUCUUAAGUCUGAUGUGAAAGCCCACGGCUCAACCGUGGAGGGUCAUUGGAAACUGGGGAACUUGAGUGCAGGAGAGAAGAGUGGAAUUCCACGUGUAGCGGUGAAAUGCGUAGAGAUGUGGAGGAACACCAGUGGCGAAGGCGACUCUUUGGCCUGUAACUGACACUGAGACGCGAAAGCGUGGGGAGCGAACAGG